rnacentral:rRNA from 1 species
AGGUUUCCGUAGGUGAACCUGCGGAAGGAUCAUUACAGCGAUCGAUCCGGGGGGGGAGGUUGGAUGCUGGCCCCUCCAAGCCUUUGGGGGGCAUGUGCGCGCCUCGUCCCCCUUUCACACACCCCUGGUCGGGGACAUGUCUCCCUCGGGGCGUGUUCCCUUCCACCUUAUACCCCACCCUGUUUAAACCGCAUGUCUUUUGAAACCGCUCUACGGAGCGGGGUAAUGUUUUAUACAACUUUCAACAACGGAUCUCUUGGCUUUCGCAUCGAUGAAGAACGCCGCGAAAGYGCGAAACGUAAUGUGAAUUGCAGAAUUCAGUGAAUCAUCGAAUCUUUGAACGCAUCUUGCGCUCCUUGGCAUUCCGAGGAGCAUGCCUGUUUGAGUGUCGUGACGUUUGCUCGAUCCCCCCUUCUUUUGGGUGGGGGGGAUUUGGAUUUGGACGCUUGCCGGGUCGGUCCGAUGCGGCCGUGCGGCUCGUCUUGAAAUGUAUUGGGCUGGCCCUUUCGAGUCUGGCAUCAACGACGGUGUGAUAAACAAAUGCUUUGUUGACCGCAGCCGCCGUCUGGCCGGUUUUGGAUUAGGGUUGCUUACAGUCGUCUUCGGACACACGCGCACACGUGUUUGGGUUUUGACCUCAAAUCAGGUAGGACUACCC